rnacentral:piRNA from 1 species
UACUUUAAGGAACUCAGCAUGUACUGUUUG